CCCGGGCCUUGUACACACCGCCCGUCACGUCAUGAAAGUCGGGGACGCCUGAAGCCGGUGGCCGAACCAGUUUACUGGGCGGAGCCGUCGAGGGCGGGACCGGCGAUUGGGACG
rnacentral:rRNA from 1 species